UUAAUGCAAUAAUUAUAAAAGUAGAUCUGUUCGAUCUUUAAAAUAUUACAUGAUUUGAGUUCAAACCGGUGUAAACCAGGUUGGUUUCUAUCUUUUUAUAAAUUCAUAUAUAUAUAUAUAUAUAUAUAUACAUAAAUUUUUCAAGUACGAAAGGAAAAAAAAAUUUUUAUUUUAAUUAAUUAGCAAUUAAUAUGCAUUAGAUUUAGAAUCUAAAUAAACUAUU
rnacentral:misc_RNA from 1 species